GCAUGCGCACUGUAGCUCACAGCAGGACCGCUUCUGCUCCGAGUCCAGACAUUACAGGAUCACACACAGAGCAAGAGGUAGUCCCGACGACAGUCAUUCUUCAGGUAAGUUAUUAUCGCUCUGCUUUAAAUUUGUGAUAAUAACUAAGUCUGCGUGUAGUUUGACGCGAGAUAUGUAGCUGUUCAUAAGUUUAUUAACUGAUGUAGAACAUGUUUCUGUUCUCUGUAAAACUUUUGGCGGCAACAUGGAAGUAGCUAGCGUUAGCUUAAUUCAACUGGGAGCUCUUCUUCUUCUUUUUUCCAUCCAAUUAGAGUAUGGCUUGCAAAUACUGCAAUCGGAUGGAUUAAAUCAAAAUGCUGCAGCUUUUGGCAGAAAUAACUAAACAUAAUGGUGGGACUGUCCCCCCGUCAAUACCUGUCUCACUGCGCGCUUGAAUUGGUUCGUGCGCAUUCAAUUCAAAGGCACAAAAUAACUCCAUAGUAGCGUUGGUGUGUCGUGCUGUGCGAAGCCCACCACUACCCCCUCGUGCUACCCAUCAGUACUCAUAAUAAAUUGAAUAUAUUUUCACCAGUCUGCACCAAUUUGGGUUAACCAUUUUUGCCACAGACAAUUUGUUACUAAUUGUAGGACCUGUUUCUGGUUGUCUUCUUCCAAUUCGAGGCCACUAAAAUUGUUUAUACUGUAAAUAUGCCUGUCAAUAUGCAUGCCUGCCAAUGCAUUAAAGUGACUGACAGUACUGCAGACUGCAUGGCAGUGUCUUAUUAAAAUAUUUUUCUAUUUAUCAACAGGAAGCAAAUCACAUAAAAGCAUUAUCCUCAUUAUUCAGGGUGUCCUUUGGAGGAGCCAGUGGACUUUGUGGACAGUUGCACUUGAGGUCUAGGGAGAGGAGGUAGAGGAGGAACCGUUAUUCGCAGCCUUAUACUGUACCUCGGGGAGAAGGAAGAGGAACUUUUUGAAGACUGCUUGGAGGACAGCCGGAGUGACGUCAAUAAACACAUCCUCAAAAUACUUGUUCUCCAUGGUGCUGAUGAGGAUCCCCUUGAUGUCUCCAUCCUUGUUGAAGGCCAGGAGAUUUUGGGAGCAUUCAACAGUACUGCAAAAGGCUGCUCCCUGCUCAUGGGACUGAUAUCGGGGGCUUAAGACUUUUAUAAUGUCGAAAGCCAUACACUAUUAUGUUAUGUACUAAAACUAUCAAGUACUAAAAUA